GACGAACGCUGGCGGCGUGCUUAACACAUGCAAGUCGAGCGGAAAGGCCCUUCGGGGUACUCGAGCGGCGAACGGGUGAGUAACACGUGAGCAACCUGCCCUGGACUUUGGGAUAACCCUCGGAAACGGGGGCUAAUACCGAAUAUGACCUGUCACUGCAUGGUGGUGGGUGGAAAGUUUUCGGUCUGGGAUGGGCUCGCGGCCUAUCAGCUUGUUGGUGGGGUGAUGGCCUACCAAGGCGACGACGGGUAGCCGGCCUGAGAGGGCGACCGGCCACACUGGGACUGAGACACGGCCCAGACUCCUACGGGAGGCAGCGGUGGGGAAUUUUGGACAAUGGGGGCAACCCUGAUCCAGCCA
rnacentral:rRNA from 1 species